GCUUAAGCGACUGAAGUAGGUGGGGAAAGAAAAGCAAUUUCCGCUCUUGGAGCAGACAUGCCGCUUGCAGUAUUAAGAGCUGGACUUCAGGAUCCAAAAGCGCCAUAAUAACUACACAGCGGCAAGUUACACGCAAAUUAAUGAAGUGCACGGAAAAGGGUCACUUCCUUCUCCAGAUCUCAAGACUGCAAGCAAACAAGAAAAUAAAGUGAAAGCAAAACGAACGCCAAGGCCAGUCCGCCAGCCCUGGGCUCCUCGAUCCGUCACGGAUGCUGUGCUUUCGGCAGCCUGACGGGCAUCUGGAUUGAUGAGUCACAGGGAGACAAAUGACAGGUGGCGUCAUCAUCCAAUACAGGCAUGGACCUGCGAUGUGAUGUUUCCCUCAGCCAACGCAUCUCUGCAGUCAAGGCACGGGACUGACAUGGAGAUGAAAGUCAGAUUCUCCUUUUAAUCCCCUGUGUUACUGAUGGACUUUUUCCCAGGGACUGUUGUCAAGGCUUCACCCACGACUGUUUAUCUUCUCUCUUGGAAAUACCUUCGGAAGAACCAUCAUUUCUACCCCAGACAUGACUGCUCUCUUCAUGGAAAGUGAUCCAUGCCCAAACCACGCACUGGCAAGGCACUCACAUCACUCAAAUUGAUCUUUUUUUUUUUUGUACGUGUGACAGUUUACCACAUCUAAACCAUAGAUUAUGAUAAAAUGGAGAUAAGUGUGCUGAAACUCACAUAGCAGGAGAUUAGAGGUGACCAUCACUGAAGUCAGGCAGAGGAACUGGCCUGAUCAAAUGCCAGGAAAAAUAUUGAUUCCAUACACUGUUGCAAAUAUGUAUGUGCGGUACAUCGGUGUGUGUGCAGAUAUCUGUAUUACCUAAAUACAUACGAUAGUGACCAAACACACACUAUAGUCGUUUUGCACACGAGAUAGUGGGUGUUUCAUGGAUACACCACCUUGCAUUUCACUACAGGUUAUAGUCAGACUAUAUACCUUGAAUAUCACCUUUGAAUCUCUGAAUCAUUAAGACGAAUCUCCAUUAUGCAAACAUCCCAAAGAUCUGGCCCAAGUUAGGAGGGUUUAUUUGAUGUUUUCACACUGGUUUCAUUAGAAGACUAAUUGAUUUAUGUACAUGGAUUGCAACACAAUGGCUGUUUGCUCACUGCUAGAAUCUAUCAACAUCGAUGCAUAAAAUGCCAAUGCAGGUGAUGUCUGACAGGCGGUAAUGGAAAUGUCCAAAAGGUACAGACUGCAGGGUUUGUUCCCUGAAUCAGAAUAAGGCUACAAACAAAUGGCGGAGAGGAAAAUGGACAGUGUGUUUGGAGAAUCCGCAUCAGGCGUUUACAGGUGGAGAUCCCACGAUCAGCCAGGAACAUCGGUCUGGUUGAUGGUCCUCACCUGCUUACAUGAUGGAGAUAGAUCUGUUUAAAACACCUCAUUAUAGGGUUUCCGUAGCUGACGGUACCUAAUAUUUCACGGCUGCUGUUUUUUUAAUGUAAAUUAAUUAGCUCCCCCUCUCUGACAGAGUUUGGUACCGUCCACGUUACAUUCUUCUACUUCCCUGAUCUCUACAUAUAGCUUACCCAUUAUUGCAGUUUCCCGAUAGUCUGUGAGAUGAGGUGCUGAAAUAAUUUGCCGCUAUGACUUAUGAAGUUUUAAUGACAUUAUUAGGGGAGCGCUGUUUGAAAACUGUACGGGACGUUUAUGACACGAUGCUGUGAUGUUACGACUGGAAUGGCGUGGCAUUCAGAUCGCACCACAGCCGAAUCGGAGCAUGUGUUCAUGGUAAAGCCCGAAUUGGAAACAGGCAUCACCGGCUUGCUGCCUACAUGAUGUAACAAGCGCUGUCCUCCAUCACUGCGCUCCCCGGAAAUUCCCCUUCGCUGUCAGGCACGAUCUCUUCUGAAUACGUUUGUAGGGAUUUAAUUUUCUCGUUCAUUUCAAACCGAUUAACAGCCUUUGAUAUGUAACUCAUCUCUCAAAAUAUUUAAAGAAGGGAGUCGGAGAACAACAGGAGCCUCAGGAGAAACGUUUAUGGAGAAACGCUGGUUGAAAGGGGUGGGAUUGUAAGAACAAGCGUUCGGCACCGAGCCGCAUUGCUAAACACGACGGAGUUAGAGAUAAUUGCUUCAAUGUUUGCAGAUGUGCAUUAAUUACUUGAGCAUAAUUAGCAUUUUCAGUUAAUUAUUACUUUGGCAAAACCGCUAUGCUCUAAUGAUCUCAGGUGAAGAAAAAUUACACGCUACACAAAGAGUCCCAUGGACAUCUGACUGAAUAUCUUAAAAGCUCAGCUCAGAAGCUUAUCUAACGCCAGAGGCAGCUGUACAACUCAUACAGUUUCCGGUGUUUAUUUGCUUGUUAAACGCCUCCCUUUUCAAGUCGUUCUGUAAUCUUUUUCCCAUUACACAAAGGUAUAUAGUGUUACAUUCGCUUGACAAUCUACAAGACAAUACCCUUGACAUAGGUAUAAUCAUAACUUGCUACUAUCAAUUACAUUAAGUUUCAAUUAUAGUAAUAAAAUUAAAGCCUAAAUGGGUAUUAGCCAAUCAAAUAAAAUUUGCCAUGGAAUCAGCCAUGAAAGGAUGACACAAAGCAUUUGUUCCUCAGCAUAAAAGUGAAUUUUUAUUACAGAGCUAAAAGCUACCCAAUUGGAUACACGUUAACAAACUGUUAAGUAAAUCAUUUUAAUGUCUAACGUGUAAUUAUUCCGAAAUAUCUAGUUGGAAUUAGUGAUCCCAUGCUAAAUGGUAAUCCCUCUUGGAAGCUGAUUAAAGUACCGUUUUUCUGUGCCAAUCAAAAUUACCUUCACAGAUUUCUUUAAUGGGUGUCACGCAGGGGUGUCAAGGUUUCUGUUUAUACACUGGACAAGGAUGAGAGAACGUGGGAAAAUCAGAUCAUAACUUUCUAAAUUGUACAUUUCUCAGUUUACGGUUAGUGCCCAGUCUACCUCAGUCUUUAACAGAAUUGGUGUGCUAAACAUAAUCUUCUUAGCGGUAUAUUGUGGACAUAAAUAUAGGCCUACCUACAUGUAAUUUAUCAUACCAUGUUGAGAGGUCCAUGUAUUUGAUUUAAAACAUCAACAUAAAUAACUAAGGCCUGUAAAAAACUGCAGCAUAAGUUAUUGUUUGGUAAUCGCAAACCCAGUUUGAACCCUUAUUUAACUGGACGAAUUUUAUAUUUUAAAAAAUCUGUAAAAGCCCGCAACCUGUACAUAUAAGACGCCUUAUCAUUUUGUUGGAUUACCCUUGCUAAGCAUGCGCAGUGGGACUGCUCAGAGCGGAAAUACGCCUAUGAAAUCCUGGAUAAGCACAUGAAAAAGCAUCUCCUGCUUACCCUUGGGCUUGCUCUUAAACAGUCAUUUUAGGGCAUCGUCGCCUAUACGUCUUUGUUCCGCUGUGGAAUGAUCACCCGUCUCUCAUACCCCUGUGCCGUUUAUUACACUUACCCCAGCACAUUUUCAAGUGCAAUGCAAUCGUUGACCUGUCUUUGGCAUAGACGCGAAUUCAGGAGCCGCUCCGUACCAUUUAACGGCAUAAAAACGCCCGUAGUACGCUGGCGAAGCCACUCAAAUGGGCCUCUUGCUCUCUAACGGAUCUCAGUACUUUGCCCUUUAUUCACAAACCAGCGGUUUGUGUCACCAAAUGCUGGCCGUUCGCGUUACUACAGUUUUGACACUGAUUGAUUUACAGCUACACCUUUAAAGGAGCUGUGUAAAUGAUUGUUAUUUUAGACCAAGUAUGUUCAGGUUGUCCUUUUACAACAACAACAAGUCUAUAAUAACAGCCUAAGCUAAGAGACAUUAAGGUGCACGAUUUUUCUGCUCGAUACUCAAUUUUUAAGAAGAAUACGUUGUUAAAAUCAUAUUAAGUAAUACAUAUAAAUUGUAGCAAUUCAUUUACUUUUUUCAGUUUUUUUUAAUUCUGUUAUUCUAAGCAGCUUUCAACAAAAAGCACACUAACUACACACUCUUUUUUGAAAAACCAGCGAACAUGUAGAGAUCGCAUUGGACUGCGUUUGAUCGCUGCAUGACGAAGUAUAGCGGUAUGAAAGGUACCCCCACCUUGCAAAAUUAAUUACUAAAUGACCAUUGGCUGAAAGCUAGAAGAAAACUGCAACAAUAAAAUAACAUUUUUAACCAGGCUGUACGUGGUGCCUUUGGCUCAGUCUGGGCUCCAGUCCAGCUGAACACAUAAACGUGCUUUACGGUGGCUUCUGCGUGUUAUUUAUGAGGUGGUAAUUCACAAUAUGAAGGCAUUUAUUUUUGGCAUCACUGCCUGGAGUUCAGCUCUGCCAAGUGGACAUGGCGAUUAUCUGCAUGUCCACCGCUGUAACGUUUCUGGGGGGCUCCCUCGCUGAUGAUAAUGUCCUUAUUCCUCAGCGAAGUGUGCGGCUCUGCCAAGAAAGCGGAUACAGCGAGUUUGAACAAGCUUCACUCGCGAAGCUGAGAAAUGGCCCCCAAACAUAAACAAUUUAAAAGAUCCAAAUCGUAAUUAAAUGCUGUAAUAAAAUUACUGAUUACUGAAUAGGCAAUUUUGCAACUAUUUCGUAAAUAUAUAAUAAAACAACUGUGUUCAGUUCAGAUAUUCAACUCACGGGUGCAUGGAAAGAAUCCAGGUGAUAAGCAUUUUACCUUAAUGUCACUUUGUGCAUUUUUUUCUUGAGGUCAUUUCCAUGAUCUCCACAGCAUGCUGUCAGAUUUUACACUGAGUCGGGUCCGAUCGGUCUGGAGCGCAGUGUGAGCAGCGCGGACAGCGGGCAUCGUGCAUAAACCAACCUGGAAACACGAAUAGUGUGCAAAGCGAAGGCCCCAGCCCACCAGAGCAAGGACGUUGCGAUAGCUUCUCGAUAUCUUCUAGCAGAACUAAACGUCUCGUAUGAGGCCUCCUGUCUUCUAUGUUCGCCAUUGUAUUGAAUGAAAAGACUAAAGUACUAGCGAGCUGAAUUUGUAUUACAUUUAAGACAUAAAACAUGUGUGAACCAACUCCUAUAACAUUUUUAAAAGUCAUUGUUAAAGUUUUACACAUGCAUGUCUCCGGUUUAAUGCCGUCUUUGUGUUAUUCUGUAUUCACAACAAAAUCGAUAUUUUUCAUCAAAUCUAACUGACGAAGCAGCUCUUGUGAUGAGUAUACAGUAAUGUAUGAA